rnacentral:rRNA from 1 species
AGUUCGAUUAUGGCUCAGAUUGAACGCUGGCGGGAUGUUUACACAUGCAAGUCGAACGACAGCACAGACUUCGGUCUGGUGGCGAGUGGCGAACGGGUGAGUAAUGUAUCGGAACGUGCCUAGUAGCGGGGAUAACUACGCGAAAGCGUAGCUAAUACCGCAUACGCCCUUCGGGGGAAAGCGGGGGACCUUCGGGCCUCGCACUAUUAGAGCGGCCGAUAUCGGAUUAGCUAGUUGGUGGGGUAACGGCUCACCGUUGCGACGAUCCGUAGCUGGUUUGAGAGGACGACCAGCCACACUGGGACCGAGACACGGCCCAGACUCCUACGGGAGGCAGCAGUGGGGAAUUUUGGACAAUGGGGGAAACUCCCUGAUCCAGCCAUCCCGCGUGUGCGAUGAAGGCCUUCGGGUUGUAAAGCACUUUUGGCAGGAAAGAAACGGCACGGGAUAAUACCCCGUGCAACUGACGGUACCUGCAGAAUAAGCACCGGCUAACUACGUGCCAGCAGCCGCGGUAACACGUAGGGUGCAAGCGUUAAUCGGAAUUACUGGGCGCAAGCGUGCGCAGGCGGUUCGGAAAAAGAAAGAUGUGAAAUCCCAGAGCUUAACUUUGGAACUGCAUUUUUAACUACCGAGCUAGAGUGUGUUUGGGAGGGAGGUGGAAUUCCGCGUGUAGCAGUGAAAUGCGUAGAUAUGCGGAGGAACACCGAUGGCGAAGGCAGCCUCCUGGGAUAACACUGACGCUCACGCACGAAAGCGUGGGGAGCGGCAGGAUUAGAUACCCUGGUAGUCCACGCCCUAAACGAUGUCAACUAGCUGUUGGGGCCUUCGGGCCUUGGUAGCGCAGCUAACGCGUGAAGUUGACCGCCCGGGGAGUACGGUCGCAAGAUUAAAACUCAAAGGAAUUGACGGGGACCCGCACAAGCGGUGAUAUGUGGGGAUUAAUUCGAUGCAACGCGAAAAACCUUACCUACCCUUGACAUGUCUGGAAUCCCGGAAGAGAUUUGGGAGUGCUCGCAAGAGAACCGGAACACAGGUGCUGCAUGGCUGUCGUCAGCUCGUGGCCGUGAGAUGUUGGGUUAAGUCCCGCAACGAGCGCAACCCCCCUUUGUCAUUAGUUGCUACGAAAGGGCACUCUAUCGAGACUGCCGGUGACAAACCGGAGGAAGGUGGGGAUGACGUCAGUCCUCAUGGCCCCAGGGUAGGGCUUCACACGUCAUACAAUGGUCGGGACAGAGGGUCGCCAACUCGCGAGGGGGAGCCAAUCCCAGAAACCCGAUCGUAGUCCGGAUCGCAGUCUGCAACUCGACUGCGUGAAGUCGGAAUCGCUAGUAAUCGCGGAUCAGCAUGUCGCGGUGCGGAAUACGCCCGGUCUUGUACACACCGCCCGUCACACCAUGGGAGUGGGUUUUACCAGAAGUAGUUAGCCUGGACCGUAAGGAGGGCGAUUACCACGGUAGGAUUCAUGACUGGGGUGAAGUCGUAACAAGGUAA